rnacentral:rRNA from 1 species
GAUGAACGCUGGCGGCGUGCCUAAUACAUGCAAGUCGAGCGAACGGACGAGAAGCUUGCUUCUCUGAUGUUAGCGGCGGACGGGUGAGUAACACGUGGAUAACCUACCUAUAAGACUGGGAUAACUUCGGGAAACCGGAGCUAAUACCGGAUAAUAUUUUGAACCGCAUGGUUCAUAAGUGAAAGACGGUCUUGCUGUCACUUAUAGAUGGAUCCGCGCUGCAUUAGCUAGUUGGUAAGGUAACGGCUUACCAAGGCAACGAUGCAUAGCCGACCUGAGAGGGUGAUCGGCCACACUGGAACUGAGACACGGUCCAGACUCCUACGGGAGGCAGCAGUAGGGAAUCUUCCGCAAUGGGCGAAAGCCUGACGGAGCAACGCCGCGUGAGUGAUGAAGGUAUUCGGAUCGUAAAACUCUGUUAUUAGGGAAGAACAUAUGUGUAAGUAACUGUGCACAUCUUGACGGUACCUAAUAAGAAAGCCACGGCUAACUACGUG